UGGGGAAUUUUGGACAAUGGGCGAAAGCCUGAUCCAGCAAUGCCGCGUGUGUGAAGAAGGCCUUCGGGUUGUAAAGCACUUUUGUCCGGAAAGAAAUCCUUGGCUCUAAUACAGUCGGGGGAUGACGGUACCGGAAGAAUAAGCACCGGCUAACUACGUGCCAGCAGCCGCGGUAAUACGUAGGGUGCAAGCGUUAAUCGGAAUUACUGGGCGUAAAGCGUGCGCAGGCGGUUUGCUAAGACCGAUGUGAAAUCCCCGGGCUCAACCUGGGAACUGCAUUGGUGACUGGCAGGCUAGAGUAUGGCAGAGGGGGGUAGAAUUCCACGUGUAGCAGUGAAAUGCGUAGAGAUGUGGAGGAAUACCGAUGGCGAAGGCAGCCCCCUGGCCAAUACUGACGCUCAUGCACGAAAGCGUGGGGAGCAAACAGGAUUAGAUACCCUGGUAGUCCACGCCCUAAACGAUGUCAACUAGUUGUUGGGGAUUCAUUUCCUUAGUAACGUAGCUAACGCGUGAAGUUGACCGCCUGGGGAGUACGGUCGCAAGAUUAAAACUCAAAGGAAUUGACGGGUCAUAGCUGUUUCCU
rnacentral:rRNA from 1 species